AUGUUGUUCUGCAGUUGGAAUACAUCUGGCUACGCAACGGUAUUUAAAAUGGAAAUGACAACCGGCCAGUGUUACCUCACAGCAGUAGGAAGUUCCGGGGAUGAAAUGAAAUUGAUGAUAUUGAAAAUCACCAGUGAGUCAAUACUGCUGCAUGCAGAAAAGAUAGAAGUCUCACAAAGAUCUGCAGAACCAGCUGUGAACUUCUUGUAUCACACUGCUGGGAAGGAAGAGCAGUAAGACUGAACCACCAUUCGCUAGUUCUCAUUCUUUAAACUUAUUCCUGGCUAUACAAGAAAUCAGACACAUCUGUGGCAUGGAGGCCUCCAAAACUGCAUGCCCUGUUUAAGGCUGAUUUGCAAUUCUUUUGCAUGUUGUCAUGCCACAAUCACAGACUGAACAACCUUGAACUAGAAGCCACAGGGAAGCUCAUCACAAGAUCUGUCAAGAUGAGCAAUGUAUGCGUGGCCCUCAUUAUUGCAGAGUUCAAGUACCUCUCACUUUUUAACGUAUUUAUCUUUCUAGCACUCUGUUAAACAGGAGAAUGCUACUCAUCUUGCCCUGUGGGUGAGGAAAGUGAGACACAAGGAGACUCAAGGAUGAACCUUUGCAAUCUAUUAAAACUUCCACCAGCUCAAAAAUGACUUUACUAUUUCCCAGCUCCAGACAAGCAACCACCAGGCAUUAUCACAGAAUACAGCCCAGUUCCUUCAGUUUUGCCAGGGAAGAACUACCCAAAAUACUCUGAAGCCUGCUUGCAGACGUUAACAAGGAAGUUGCCCAACUUCUAGAGUAAUAAGGCUGGGGAGAAAACUCCAGAAUCGGCAGGUCCCUCACAGCCUGCAUGCAGUUUGUGCUCUCCUCUCGCAGGAGGUAGCAGCAGCUUUUGUGCUCCCAUGAGGCUGGUUUCCUCAGCGUGGUGCAAGGGGAGAGGCAGUUCCUCAGACAGCGUGGCUGUACACUGCUCUGUAAGUCAAACUGCCUGCUUUCAAAACUCCCUUCGCAAGCAAUGCUGCAGUCAGCACAGGUCAUAAAAGGGUGGUGGUGGCUUGUGUGUGUGCUGGAGAGGUAGGCUGGCCAGUUCAAAUAAGGGUUAGCUGUUACAGCGAAUGUCCACAUAUGGCCCAGUGCCAGAGUCUGUGGUACAGCCUCCUUGUUUCAUACCGAGGAAUUUGAAAAGCCUAAUACUUUUAUAAUAUUUAUAAUAUUUUUUGUUCAUGUAUUUCUCUAGUUCUCAUGG
rnacentral:lncRNA from 1 species